rnacentral:rRNA from 1 species
UACAGCGGUGGCAAGCGUUGUUCGGAAUUACUGGGCGUAAAGGGCGCGUAGGCGGCUUUCUAAGUCAGACGUGAAAUCCCCCGGCUUAACCUGGGAACUGCGUCUGAUACUGGGAAGCUUGAGUUCGGGAGAGGGAUGUAGAAUUCCAGGUGUAGCGGUGAAAUGCGUAGAUAUCUGGAGGAAUACCGGUGGCGAAGGCGGCAUCCUGGACCGAAACUGACGCUGAGGCGCGAAAGCUAGGGGAGCAAACGGG